CGGGAGAGAGAAGGGAGAAGCACGUGCGGUUGAAGGAGUGUGAAUUCGCUAGCUGCGGGUUUUUUGUUUCUUUCAAGUAACAUCACUGCGAGUUAAGUGGUCGACCAGAGCACUAUAUGUAACUGUAGUGGUGUAAUAAGCUAACCUCGGAGAGAUGUUAUAUUACCGUGGAAAGAGUAUAAUAGUUAAGAGCUAGUUGUUAAGACUUGGAUACUAGUGCACACAUGGACUUUGCUAAGAAGUUAGUGAACAGCCGACUGGAGGAUCAGAGACUGUGUUUCUCACAGAGAAAGGAGCUGUGGACUUCGCGGAUGACUGCCUGUGUGUGAACCUUCUCUUCUUCUUAUCUUGCAACGACCCUGCGUGACUGUGACCCCAUUGUUGAUCAAGCUGCUGCCAAAUGAUUGGCUGAUUGCAUGAAUGAACAGGUGUUCCUAUUAAAGUGGAAGUGACAGGUGUAUGCAAACAGAAGUCCAGCGAUGCAGAGCGGGUGACUGAAUCAGGUGACCUACUUUUGGCCAUGUUUUGCAGUGGUGAAUAGAAACGUUGCUGAAAUAGUUAGUUACUGAAACUGGACGUGACAUGACAAAAAUGACCUGCAUGUGAAGUUCACGUCUCUAAGGUAGCUAGAUAUUUCUUCUUCAAAGACACGCAUUUGCUUUAAAC
ensembl:lncRNA